CACCCAUGUUAAUUAGAUUAGCACUGCUGUGGUUCUGUAAGUGUCAGCAUACCCUGCCAGCCACUUUUCACAGCAAUAAAGUUUGCAUGGAAACAUAGAAUUUGACGGCAGAUAAUAACCACUUCGUCCAUCUCGUCUCCCCCAUUUAAUUUGUCCUUUUGGCAACUUCAACCCUAUUUGAAGCAUCUAUAUGCAACUGUGAUCCUGUCUUCAAUGCAACACUCUUGUUAAUGAAAUUACUACUGCUGAAAAUACUGGUCGAACACACCUCACCAUGUACCAGCCGGCACCAUUUAUAUUCAGAGAAUUAAUAUCAAGACCUGCAUUAAAGUAAUGGUCCACCAAUGCGAAGUCUGCGCUCUAAAGGAUGUCAUUGCAAGAAUAAACUUUUCAAAUCCUUCUUCACAGAAAGAUAUCUGCAGAUAAACACUCAGAGUUCAUUAACUUAUACCGUUCCCAUCCCUGUCUGUGGAAGGUCAAAUCGUCCGAUUAUAGUAAUAGACAAAAAAGAUAUGUUGCCAUACAGUCUCUAAUUGAACUGAGCAGACCUCUUUACCCACAUGCUGAUGUUGCGUGGGUUAAAAAUAAAAUUCUGAACUUUAGAACUGUAUUCACAAGAGAGACAAACAAAAUUGACACAUCCAAGAAAUCAGGUUGCGGUACUGAUGAUGUGUAUGUGCCUUGUCUCUGGUACUAUGAUCUGUUAAUGUUCACAAGAGACCAAGAAGCGAUAUGACCUUCCAUAAAUGAACAUAGCAAAGGAACAUCUACGGAAACCCUGGCUAUAAUGGAAGAACCAUUAACCGGCUUGGCAUCAGCUGCUGCAUCUACAAGUACUGAGACACCAAAUGAUCCCCAACAUCGGAAGAAAACUACAACACAAAAGAAGUUCCAUAAAAGAGAUGUUUGGAGGAAAAGGCAGAGUCACUUCUUGAUAAAGCCACAAAUAUACUAAAUCAUUCUAUGGACGAAUAUGAUGCCACAGUACUCACAUGGGGAGCAAAGUUGCGACGUAUACCACAGCAACAUCAACACUAUACAGAAAGACUUGUAAAUGAGAUACUGCAUAUGGCCUCCAUGGGAGAAAUUAAUGCAUAUACCUUUAUAUUAAAUUUGCCUUCUUAUAUGCCACCGCAUGAAGAACAUCAAAGGCCACAGGAUGGAAGCUUUAAUAGUGUGUUCCCUAAUAGCUCUCAGCAAACACAUCCAGAAACAUACUAUAGUAAACCACCUGAUGUGCCCCAACUCUCCACCAUGCAUGAUAGUUAUGCCUGUUCCCCUCUGCACCCUUCUCUUGUACAAAGAGCAUCUACCCCCUAUACAUGGUAACACUGAUGCCAUGGAUGAUUUGUCUUUUGACCCUAGAGAUGUUCACAAUAUUUCUCAACCACAGCCUUAUAAUUAUGUCAAUCUAUAAAAAUAAACAAAAAAACUUUAGGACCAUUUAAUACUGUAUCUAAACAUUUAUUGACAAUA